rnacentral:rRNA from 1 species
UGAGGAAUAUUGGUCAAUGGACGAGAGUCUGAACCAGCCAAGUAGCGUGCAGGAUGACGGCCCUAUGGGUUGUAAACUGCUUUUGUUUGGGAAUAAUCGACAUUACGUGUAAUGUUUUGCAUGUACCAUUUGAAUAAGGACCGGCUAAUUCCGUGCCAGCAGCCGCGGUAAUACGGAAGGUCCAGGCGUUAUCCGGAUUUAUUGGGUUUAAAGGGAGUGUAGGCGGUUGGUUAAGCGUGUUGUGAAAUGUAGAUGCUCAACAUCUGACUUGCAGCGCGAACUGGCUGACUUGAGUACACACAACGUAGGCGGAAUUCAUGGUGUAGCGGUGAAAUGCUUAGAUAUCAUGAAGAACUCCGAUUGCGAAGGCAGCUUACGGGAGUGUUACUGACGCUUAAGCUCGAAGGUGCGGGUAUCGAACAGG